rnacentral:rRNA from 1 species
ACGUAGGGGGCAAGCGUUGUUCGGAAUUACUGGGCGUAAAGCGCGUGUAGGCGGUCCGAUAAGUCUGUUGUGAAAGUCCAGGGCUCAACCCCGGAAUGCCGAUGGAUACUGUCAAGCUCGAGUCCGGAAGAGGCGAGUGGAAUUCCUGGUGUAGCGGUGAAAUGCGCAGAUAUCAGGAGGAACACCAAUGGCGAAGGCAGCUCGCUGGGACGGUACUGACGCUGAGACGCGAAAGCGUGGGGAGCAAACAGGAUUAGAUACCCUGGUAGUCCACGCCGUAAACGAUGGGUACUAGGUGUGGGGGGUGUCGACUCCCUCCGUGCCGAAGCUAACGCAUUAAGUACCCCGCCUGGGGAGUACGGCCGCAAGGCUA